GAUGAACGCUGGCGGCGUGCCUAAUACAUGCAAGUCGAGCGAACGGACGAGAAGCUUGCUUCUCUGAUGUUAGCGGCGGACGGGUGAGUAACACGUGGAUAACCUACCUAUAAGACUGUGAUAACUUCGGGAAACCGGAGCUAAUACCGGAUAAUAUUUUGAACCGCAUGUUUCAAAAGUGAAAGACGUUCUUGCUGUCACUUAUAGAUGGAUCCGCGCUGCAUUAGCUAGUUGGUAAGGUAACGGCUUACCAAGGCAACGAUGCAUAGCCGACCUGAGAGGGUGAUCGGCCACACUGGAACUGAGACACGGUCCAGACUCCUACGGGAGGCAGCAGUAGGGAAUCUUCCGCAAUGGGCGAAAGCCUGACGGAGCAACGCCGCGUGAGUGAUGAAGGUCUUCGGAUCGUAAAACUCUGUUAUUAGGGAAGAACAUAUGUGUAAGUAACUGUGCACAUCUUGACGGUACCUAAUCAGAAAGCCACGGCUAACUACGUG
rnacentral:rRNA from 1 species